GGGCCUGUGGCUCAAAGGAGUAGGGCAUUGGCCCCAUAUGCCAGAGGUGGUGGGUUCAAACCCAGCCCUGGCCA
rnacentral:tRNA from 1 species